rnacentral:rRNA from 1 species
UACGUAGGGGGCAAGCGUUGUCCGGAUUUAUUGGGCGUAAAGCGCGCGCAGGCGGCCUGUUAAGUCUGAUGUGAAAGCCCACGGCUCAACCGUGGAAGGUCAUUGGAAACUGGGUCACUUGAAUAUAGAAGAGGAAAGUGGAAUUCCAUGUGUAGCGGUGAAAUGCGUAGAUAUAUGGAGGAACACCAGUGGCGAAGGCGACUUUCUGGUCUAUUAUUGACGCUGAGGCUCGAAAGCUAGGGUAGCGAACGGGAUUAGAUACCCCCGUAGU